UAGUCCAUGCCCUAAACGAUGUCAACUAGUUGUCGGGCCUUAACGGGCUUGGUAACGUAGCUAACGCGUGAAGUUGACCGCCUGGGGAGUACGAUCGCAAGAUUAAAACUCAAAGGAAUUGACGGGACCCGCACAAGCGGUGGAUUAUGUGGAUUAAUUCGAUGCAACGCGAAAAACCUUACCUACCCUUGACAUGUAUCGAAGCCCGCAGAAAAGCGGGUGUGCCCGAAAGGGAGCGAUAACACAGGUGCUGCAUGGCCGUCGUCAGCUCGUGUCGUGAGAUGUUUGGUUAAGUCCAGCAACGAGCGCAACCCCUGUGACCAGUUGCCAGCAAGUAAUGUUGGGGACUCUGGUCAGACCGCCCGGGUCAACCGGGAGGAAGGUGGGGAUGACGUCAGGUCAGUAUGGCCCUUACGUCUGGGGGCUGCACACGUACUACAAUGCCCAGUACAAUGGGGUUAAU
rnacentral:rRNA from 1 species